rnacentral:rRNA from 1 species
GAUGAACGCUGGCGGCAGGCUUAACACAUGCAAGUCGAGCGAGCGGCGGACGGGUGAGUAAUUUCUGGGAACCUGCCUGAUGGAGGGGGAUAACUACUGGAAACGGUAGCUAAUACCGCAUACCAUCAGAUGUGCCCAGACGGGAUUAGCUAGUAGGUGGGGUAAUGGCUCACCUUGGCGACGCUCCCUAGCUGGUCUGAGAGGAUGACCGGCCACACUGGAACUUGGACACGGCACAGACUCCUACGGGAGGCAGCAGUGGGGAAUAUUGCACAAUGGGCGCAAGCCGGAUGCAGCCAUGCCGCGUGUGUGAAGAAGGCCUUCGGGUUGUAAAGCACUUUCAGCGAGGAGGCGUUACUCGCAGAAGAAGCACCGGCUAACUCCGUGCCAGCAGCCGCGGUAAUUC